rnacentral:rRNA from 1 species
AGUGAACGCUGGCGGUGGGCCUAACACAUGCAAGUCGAACGGCAGCACAGUAAGAGCUUGCUCUUACGGGUGGCGAGUGGCGGACGGGUGAGGAAUACAUCGGAAUCUACUUUUUCGUGGGGGAUAACGUAGGGAAACUUACGCUAAUACCGCAUACGACCUACGGGUGAAAGCAGGGGAUCUUCGGACCUUGCGCGAUUGAAUGAGCCGAUGUCGGAUCAGCUAGUUGGCGGGGUAAAGGCCCACCAAGGCGACGAUCCGUAGCUGGUCUGAGAGGAUGAUCAGCCACACUGGAACUGAGACACGGUCCAGACUCCUACGGGAGGCAGCAGUGGGGAAUAGUGGACAAUGGGCGCAAGCCUGAUCCAGCCGUACCGCGUGGGUGAAGAAGGCCUUCGGGUUGUAAAGCCCUUUUGUUGGGAAAGAAAAGCAGCAGGUUAAUACCCCGCUGUUCUGACGGUACCCAAAGAAUAAGCACCGGCUAACUUCGUG